UUCCUUUUUGCAGCCUGGCUGGUCAGUCUUCACCCCUUGCCACCGUUUUCUACUUUUUUUUUUUUAACUCCAAGUUCCUGUUUUCCCCCCACAUUGGAGCAUUUCUGUUUGCCUUGUCACCCUUUUCUCCUUUCUUGGAAGAAAUGUUGCAAUUUGGAGAACAUGCCUUGGAGCAGGAACAUAACUGAGGAACUGCCUAGAUCAGAUUUGUCUGUGGCCAGUCUGUAGGGCAUUUUCUUAAUUAUGGCUAAUUGCUAUAGGAGGCGCCAGCCCACUGUGGGCAGCGCCAUCCCUAGGCAGGUGGCCCUAGGCUGCGGAAGAAAGGCAGCUGAGGAGGGCGGAGGAAGCAAGCCAGGAAACUGCCUCCCUGCCCAGCUUCAGUGCCCGGUGAGGCUUCUUCUGCCUGAAGUUCCUGCCUUGACUUCCCUUAAUGACUGACUCUAACCUGUAAGCCAGAUAGAUCCACCCCUCCACCAAGUGGCUUUUUGUUGGAGACCGACUCCGGACAGCUAUGUCCUGGACUUUGUCAAGCCUUGACAAGAACUUCCUGACCUAACUGCAGGAGAUGUGACUAGAUAAGACCUUCCUGGCCUAAGUGCAGGAGAUGGCGAUUAGGUAAACUUUCUGGAGCCUGUCAACUGCAGGGGGCCCGGGAUCAAAGCGACCUCGCCCCUGACCCCCUCCUUAGGAAUUUUCUCUCUCCCUGCUUCCCCUGCUCCCCUCCCUACCUGAAGCCCUGCUUAUAAGCCUCAAUGCCCAGUCAAUAAACGAGACCUUGACGCGACUCAGACUGACUCUGUCUUCUCUUAUUGCGCCUGGUCUCCUUUCUCUCUCGCCCCCAUUGAUCUUUCAGGAGGUGCCGCCUCGGGUCUCCCCAAUAACCUGGCCCGCGGGACGGGCAAGUGGCGCCCGAACGUGGGGCCCGAGGCACGGUGACCUGCCGGACGACGGACAACAGAAGGGGCCCCCCCGGAGAGGAUCAGGGUAGAGACGCCCUGACUGCAUCACUCGUGCAACGUGGGAGAGUCUUGAGGUAAAUAUGUCGUCCCAUCGAUCAUGGGCAAAAAAUUUAUCUAAAGAGGCUGUUUUUCUAAAGGAGAUGAAAGGUAAUCUUAGGGAGAGAGGAAUAAGAGUUAAAAAAAAAAAAAAGGAUUUGAUAAAAUUCUUCCAAUAUGUGGAGGAGAAAUGUCCCUGGUUAGUGAUUAAUGGACCAGGAAUUCACCCUCUGACUUGGAACAAGGUUGGAAAAGAUAUUAACAAAUUACUCAGAGAUGGGGAAAAUGUCCCCGACGCCUUUUUUAGUUUUUAUGGUGUGAUUAGAGAUGUUUUACCGGUAAGAGCGCUCUCUGUCUUGUCUGUGUCUCUCUGUCUUGUUACUUUUGUUUUGUACUUUGCAGGCUUGAUUUGUACUUUGCAGGCUCUCACUGGGACAGACGUGUCCGGACAGUGAACCUGGCGGCAAAGGGAGACGUCCCAGAGCCCUAAGGCCACCUCAGAGGUGACCAUUUGGUUUAGGAGCAUCUUUGGGUAUCUUCCCCCACGGUGGGAGGAAGUGCCACUUUGUAUUUUGUCCCGGGAAUUUGUCAGAGCCAUUUUGUGGGUUUCUUGUGUGUGUUUUGUUGUGAUCAUUGUUACUUUACUCUCUCCUUCUCUUCCAAAAAAAAAAAAAAAAAAAAAAAAAAAAAAAGGUGCAUGUCUGACAGGGAUGUGGAAGCCCCUGAUGUCUGUUUGAUUAAGGACAGAGAUCCUCGAGUCUGCAUUGUUUUUGAUGUGAUUGAGCCUGGAGGGUUACCCCCCGCCAGAGCACAUCAGGCUGUCAUUGUUCUUGGAGCUUUGUUGGUUGUCUCGUUGGGGCAAAGUUUUCUUCCGUGUGCCCUUGGUCUUAUGUGUAAUAUGUUAACUGUUCUCAUUGUUGACUUGACCAUGACGGACGCUAUGGGACAGUUCCCUUCUUCUCCACUAGACCUUUGCCUAGCCCACUGGAAGGAUGUUUGAGCCACAAUAGAGGGAACUGGGUCCCCCACCCCCACUCCCCGAUUGAACUGAGAUAAACAGGUAGCUCCUGCCAGGUGUGGCUUGCAUACUGUAAGAGGGACUUGCUGGCUGUGAAUGAGGCCGUCGUCUCAGUGCUGAUGCUCCGGUUCUUGGAUUGUCUCUGUAAAUGUUAUUUGUUUCUGUCUACUAACCUCCCUUAUUUUCCUAAAGGAAGAGGAGGAAAGAGAGGCAUAACUAAGGCCACCUCCGUCCCUUCUUAGCUCUCUUGCUAUCAGGACUGCAGCCAGCAGGCCGCUCUCACGAGGGUGGGGGUGCGCGCUCUUCUUACAGGCGGGCAAAGACAGGAGCUCUGGACAGGGCAAUGGGGACUGCCUGCAAUUGACAAAAACUGUGUGAACACUGAACAGAUAAUCUGACUUUAGUCAGAGGAGUUAACAAAAACUUUUUUUCAGGAACACUGGCAGCCAAGGACACGCUCUAUGCCCACUGCUCCCCCUCCCUCCCUUUACUGUGAUAAUAACUUCAAGGUCUCUUCUGCCGGCCAGCAGCUUCUCUUGUUAACCCUUCUCUGUCCUGGUAUUGCUUAAAAAGAAAUGUUAAAUUAUCAGUUCAAGAUACUGGGAAAAUUAUGCUUUUGUUUCCACAGGAAAAAUAAAAAUUUACAUGGUGUGAAACCUCAAUAACCCCCCUUCCUCUAUCCCCUACAGACAAAGAGGAGCCUAAACCAAGAUUCCUAAGUGUAGAUAAGAAGUUAGACCCCUUUUUUCCCAGGUGGCUUUAUCAGCUACAGAAACUUAAAAACACAGAGUCCGAAUAUAUGACCAUCUGACAGAGGCUAAGUGGUCAUAAAACAUCCCAAACUUCUCGAACCCCGGAGACAGCUCGUAAAACUCCUAGACACGGUUGUUUAACAAACAAGAAAUAAAGAUAACAUACUGAUAUGAACCAGAAAGAAUGGAGGCAGGCUGUGAGAGAUGAAUUAUGUGGUCUGUGCCUUUAAGAACUAGCCUCACAAAGAAAGGGCGCGCUCCUUCCAAUCUCCCUGCUGUUCGUGAGAGAUUUGGAACGAGCCCCCUGCCGUGGCUUGUAAACUUUGACUUCAUUUGAAUGAACCUUGCUUUUUGCAUUCUGUACCUAAGUCUCUAGGUGGCUUCUUUGGGGCGAUCUGGGUAUAGCAAUGGGUUUUGGUCAUUUGAGUUCAAUGGGUUACAAAUACUUGCCAUCAUUUAAGAGAAUUGGUUUCAAAUUAUUGUUGGUUAAGAUAAAAUAUAAUGCUUUUAUAAAAAUACGAAGGCUUGAGAUAUGAGGAUAAAAGUUUAAAUAAAUGAUUUUUUUCUGGUUUGAAAAAACAGUUUAAGAUAUAAAAAUUUAAAGGCUUAAGCGUGUCAUGAGGGUUUAAAUAUAUGAUAUUUUGGGUCUAAAUAAAUAGUUUGAGAUAUAAGAAUAUAGAACUUUAAAGUUUAACUUUAAAGUUUAAAUUAUAAGAUUUAAAUAAAAUUUAUAUAGGAUAUAAGAUAUAAAGGUUUUAGAUAUAAAAAUAAAGAAAUGUUUUAAAAAAUAUGUAACAUGCAAGUUAUUAGAAUACGUAAAAGCAAGGUAUAAAGGUCUGAGGAUGAAAAGGUUUAAAUAAUGAUUUUAAAAAAAAUGACUUGAGAUAUAAAAAAAAAAAUGAUGAAACAUGUUUCAGAUUUCUUUGUCUUGCUAUUCUGCUGUUACAUUGAGACUCCAAAGGGUCAUAGUUGUAAAAAUGUCUGUCUACUCUACAGGUAUGAAUGAAAAAUGUGGCCACAUGUAUGUUUGGUUUUGAAUGUCUGAGUUUGCAUGUCCUUUAUGCUAAGGAAUACAAGUUAAUACUAGUCAUCUGGCUAUUCAGAUACUAGUUUAAAGCAUAAACUGUUCUAUUUUAAUAAAAAAAAACUGAGAGGUAUAUUUAACUAAUAUAUCUAUAGGUGAACAAAUUGACCUGGCUAUUGUUACCAAACUUAGAGAUAUUUUCAAGAUUGGGCCUAGAUUUGUUUGGCUCAGAUACAUUUAAUAGAUAAUGGUCCUCAAACUUGUCAAGAUCUGAUAAAUAUGGCAUUUACAUUAUUUGGAUAAAAAGCUUACUAUAGCAAACAGAGACUCCAAGCUCCCCAGCUCCUAGCAAUGACUCCCAAGGUCUCCAAAGAAGAUAUGGAGCAAUGACAAAAAGAUGCCACCUGAAUUGCAGACAACACCGACCACUGGGCAAGAUGCUCUGACUCAACACCUGCUGCCAGGGAUUUGGCCUAUGAGACACUGACAAGAUAAGGUUUCCACUUGGCUGACAGAUACAUCCAAGCAUCAUUUGCUGGUGACAACCUACUGCAAAUGACUGAGCCCUGAACUUGCUGAAAGCUGAUAUGGACCAAUUCAGCCGAUAUGCAUACCAUCUCUUCAGCUGGUCAAUAAAACGUUCCCUCUUGUCUUUGACUAACAUUCUGGCUUUCCAGGGCCUUGACAACAACGUCCCAAUGUCAGCAGGAAGUAAUUAUAGAAGAGAAAACAUCGCCCUUGUUUCCCGCCCCCCUGGAAUGUUAGAUCAAAAGGGAAUUUCUUGUCAUAGGGAACCUGAGAUAAAGUUCCAGGUUCCUUGAGGAUAAGGAACUCUGUCAGCCAUCACAAGGCUUUUGUCCCUUGUGCUUCUGCUAAUUACUGUUGGCUCUUAUAUCACUGAUGUCUUAACUAAAUGAUGAUUCAUGUCUGGGUACCACUAAACUGAGGAUGCUAGAAUUCCAAUAUCCACCUCUGAACCCAUGACACACUUGCAGAUGGCAAAAACUAAAUAAGGGAAAGCUCGCUUUGCCAUUGAUAAUGGGAAAACUCUUAUGUUCUGGUCCAAUUAGUCUCCGAUAUGGAAUUCUUUGAGCAGAGAGGCAGAUACACUCGAGAACCUGUGUCUAUGACUAUUGCCCUAUUGUUAGGUAUUGGGGGCAUCACUGCAGGAAUUGGUACAGGAACUACUGCCCUCGUGCAGAGUAACCACCUUAUGCAGUUACAAAUGGCUAUGACUACUGACCUAGAGGCCAUAGAAAGAUCCAUUUCUGCUCUGGAGAAAUCUUUUUAAAGGAGGGGGGAUUAUGUGCAGCCUUUAAGAAAGAAUGCUGCUUUUAUGCUGACCAUACUGGUAUUGUCAGGGAAUUGAUGGAAAAAUUAAGGAAAAGGCUAGCCCAAAGAAAAAGGGAGUUUGAAAACCAGCACGGGUGGUUUGAAAAUUGGCUGCAAGGGUCCCCCUGGCUCUCCACCUUGCUACCUACCAUUCUAGCCCCCUUAGUUGUUUUUCUCCUUCUCAUUACCUUUGGUCCCUGGGCCUUUCAGCAGUUGACUCAGUUUAUCAAAAAUUAGAUUGAUUCGGCCUCACCACGACACAUCUCGAUUCAUUAUCAGAGAGUAGAUUCCGAGGAGGCCAGCCAGGAGCCCCAUCAAGGACUCAGAUUCAGUGUCCUAAGGCCCUAACGUCCCCACGGUCUUGCUAGAGGGUACCCAAUGACGGGAAUAGUACAGGGCUCACGCCGGAGACAACAGCGUACAGAGGUCGUCGAGACCGGCUCAACAUGGCACGCUGCCGAGCGUGGGAAGCCCCCUGUGUAGCCUAAGACAGGGACUCUCUCGGACCCUAGCCACCCCGAUCACAAUGGACUUGGUCCAUUUUUGAGAAAAGGGGAGGAACUGUUGGAGACCGACUCCGGACAGCUAUGUCCUGGACUUUGUCAAGCCUUGACAAGAACUUCCUGACCUAACUGCAGGAGAUGUGACUAGAUAAGACCUUCCUGGCCUAAGUGCAGGAGAUGGCGAUUAGGUAAACUUUCUGGAGCCUGUCAACUGCAGGGGGCCCGGGAUCAAAGCGACCUCGCCCCUGACCCCCUCCUUAGGAAUUUUCUCUCUCCCUGCUUCCCCUGCUCCCCUCCCUACCUGAAGCCCUGCUUAUAAGCCUCAAUGCCCAGUCAAUAAACGAGACCUUGACGCGACUCAGACUGACUCUGUCUUCUCUUAUUGCGCCUGGUCUCCUUUCUCUCUCGCCCCCAUUGAUCUUUCAGGAGGUGCCUCCUCGGGUCUCCCCAAUAACCUGGCCCGCGGGACGGGUCAGCUUUUGGUCACAUUUACCGCAGCAGAGAGGCUGACUAGGACAGCUAGCCUACGUGACCCCAUUUUCCCCACUUCUUCUUCAUCAUUGGUCCCAUUUCCCUCAAAUGCCACCACCACCUUUUGCCCUCCAGGAACGGUACACAGGUAUCUUCUCCAGGGCUGCUGGAGGGCACCUUCCUUGGGAUGUCAUCUCAGCAAAUGUCUAGAGAGGGACAUUUGUGAAUCUGCAUGGUCUAUGUCCUAUCCUGGAUAAGAAGCUAGAGACACAUAGUCUCUAUGGGGAUGAUGUAGUUCCCCAGGUUCCAGCUCACAGUUGUUGUUGUUGUUUUAAAGAUUUAUUAUUUAUUACGUAUACAGUGUUCUGUUUGCAUGUAUCCCUGCAGGCCAGAAGAGGGAGCCAGAUCUCAUUACAGAUGGUUGUGAGCCACCAUGUGGGUGCUGGGAGUUGAACUCAUGACCUCUGGAAGAGCAGUCAGUGUUCUUAACCUCUGAGCCAUCUCUCCAGCCCAGGAGCUCACACUUUUUAAUCUAGCUUACUUUUAUAGAGACAAGCGAAGCUGACUCCCCACGGGACCUGAAUUUUCUGCGUAAGAGAACUGUUCAACAGUCUUUCCGGACACUUUACAUUAAGGCAAAAGGAAGAGCCAGACCGGAGACCGGGGGUCACAGGCAGAGGGAGGAAGCAGAAAAGGAAAUCGAUGUGACAGCAGCGCUAGCUUCAGUAGACUCCUCAGCCAGCAUGCUAGCUGUGUAUUCUUGAUACCGAACCCCUAGAACAGAGGGGAGCUGUGGACCAGUUUCUUCCACCAGGCCCCUUAGACGGUGCACCAUUGAUCUGGUGCCAGCCUUAGGGAAACACUAGGGUUGUGCGGAGAAUCCUGCAAAGAUUAGCUUUUUGUGUUCGUUGUUUAGACCUGCUAGAUGUGUUACUCUGUGACAGGACAGCUGGAUAACCAGAGGCUGAGAAGGGAGGCAAGGGUAUUUAUUCUGUGGCACUCUAUACAUUGCCCCAGCCCUGGGAUCUGAUUCUCUUUGAGUAAGUGUAGUGAUAAUAAUCACGAGUAACUGAAAUAAUAACUCCCAUGAAAACAGAAACUCUGGGACUAGAGAGACGCCUCAGCAGUUAAGAGCACUGACUGCAUUCCCAGCAUCCACAUGGUGGUUGACAACUACGUGUAACUCCAGUUCCAGGGAAGCCAAUGCCCUCUUCUGGCAUCUGUGGUAUACAGACAAACAUGAGGCAAACACCCAUACACAAAAAAUAAAAGUAAAUGAAUAAAUCUUAAAAAAAACAAAAACAAAAAACCCAAACCAAAAAACUCAAACUUUACUUGAGGCAACCCCAAGAAUGCCUUGGGAAGACCACGUGACUACCUGGGCCUGUGCAAAGAACACAUUGUUUUCAGUAAUGUCCUCCUUUCUCCUCAGGACACGUUAUCUGUCCUUUGUGAUCUUCUAACUGUGGCUAUGAGGCAAAGCCGUAAAGACAGAGUGUGAGGAAGGGGUAAUACCCCCCACCCCCACUCCCCUCACCCUACCACCCCCCCCAGCUAAGAUAGCAGAACCUCAAGCCACAGUCAUAUAAACACAGUGAGAAACACAGUACGUCAGCAGAGAAGGACAAAGCACUUGGUAAGUAAUGUGGAGACAAACUUUUAGAGAAAAAUGAAGCCAUUAGAAUCUAAAGAGAAUUGGCUUUUCUUUUCAUGAUGAUGAGAAUCAUCCCGUGAACGCUCACUAAGUGCCCAACAUCAGGACCUCUCUCUGAACGUCACACUGAAAGCUGUAAGACGGUAUACAUCCAUGUCUGAUCAUCUACAUAAUCCUUGAAAUAAAAAAAAACACUGACCAAAUUUAAAUCUUAUUUUUGUAGGAUAAGGUCUUUGAUGUUUUAAGAUCUAUUAAAAUCAGAUUAUCCCAGAUUUUGUCAAAUAUUGGCAGGAAAAUGGAGAGAAGGAGAGAGAAGAAUGUGAUGGGUAAAGAGGGGGCUGUGUCAAUCAGCUUUCUAUUACUGUGACAAAACGCCACACUGUGUAUGUUGUCAAGCCACACAAGUGCCAUCGAGCACAGGUUUGAUGCUAUCAUCAUGGUCAAGAACUACUCUCUAUGAGAGAAGAAUCUAUUUACAACAAAAAAUUGAAAAAAACUACUCUUUCUUUUUUUGGUUUUUCGAGACAGGGUUUCUCUGUGUCCUUUUGAUGCCUGUCUUG